UACGGGGGGAGCAAGCGUUGUUCGGAUUUACUGGGCGUAAAGGGCGCGUAGGCGGCCACCGCAAGUCAGUUGUGAAAUCUCUGGGCUUAACCCAGAACGGUCAGCUGAUACUGCGGGGCUAGAGUGCAGAAGGGGCAACUGGAAUUCUCGGUGUAGCGGUGAAAUGCGUAGAUAUCGAGAGGAACACCUGCGGCGAAGGCGGGUUGCUGGGCUGACACUGACGCUGACAGCGCGAAAGCUAGGGGAGCGAACGGG
rnacentral:rRNA from 1 species